GUGAAAAUUGCAGACUCUGGGUCCAGUAUCUCACGGGCUGAUUAUGGGGGUUGUCAUUCGGUGUCUUUGUCGACUCAUCGGUCUACCAAACAACAGGUUAACCGUUGUCAGUGUUCUCUGAAUUAAGAGAACGAUCAAGACUUCAACACUGUCAUCCGCACAGGAGGCCGUGAAGAGAGGGCCGACAUGGCGGGGAGUGAUGCCAACGUCCCCUCCUCUCCAUCGUCUCAUCUGCACUGGAUCACCACUCCGGAUCCCGCGGAGCAGUUGCAGUGCCUCAAUACCAACAGUUUUGUUCACUUGCAAAAGCAAAACAACAAAACACUUCAGGACGAAGAAACAAAAAAAAGAAAAACCCUAAUAAAAAACAAUGUUGGAUUAAAACAACGGCCUAUUCGGUUUCUUGUUUUUGCAGCAACAGUUCUGGUUUUGUCUUGCGAGCGUAUCAAGACCAUCAGCCUUCAGUGAUACAUAACUUGGGCCUUGAAUUGGUGAGCUGCUACGGCAUCAGUUACACACACCCUAAUGUGCUAGAAAACAACUGCUUUGGUAGAAAAAAGAAAAGAGAAGAGGACAGGAGGAGGAGGAGGAGGAGGUCCUGGUAGAUUCACAGCAUAAUUCAGGAGGGGGAGGAGGAGGAAGGGGUUCUCUGGGUCUCUGGUUGCCUCCUCCCACUCUCCCUCUCCCUCUCCCUCUCUCCCUCCUUCCCUCCCAUCUGGCCUCCACGGUGACAGACAGGCAGAUGCUGAGGGUUGGCGGUGGCCAAUGUAGUCCGGUGAGGAGGUGUUGUUGGGGUGUUGUUGUUGAGGUCAGGAGCUGAAAGGGGGCGCUGAGGGGUGUGUGUGGGAGUAGAGCAGAGGAGGAGGAGGAUGAGGAGGUGGAGGGGGAGGAGCGCAGAGGAGGAGGAGCAGAGUCAGGAGCCACGAAAACCAGAGCAAGGGACUCCAAAAAAACAAACCAAAGGGGGGAAAAAACACAACUUCAUUGAAAAAAAAAAAAAAAAACUUUUCGGAAGUAAAGUCUUGAGACACUUGAACAAGACCCUGCAUUUAUGAGUCCCAUAGCAUGGGAGAGGGUGA